AAUUAAAUAUCAGGGAAAGAGUUCAUAAAAAAGAAAAUGUUCGGAAAAAACCCAAAAAAUUGUCAUAAUUAACUCACAAAUUGUCAACAUCAACAUUAAUGAAUAGCUGCUUUGAGGUGAGUUUGAACAUCCACUGAGGUGAAGGCAUCAAAUUCACAAUGAACAAGAAGAUUACAUUUAGAGACCAACAAAUCAUGUUUGAACUCCAAAUUUGAAUAUAGGGAGUUUCAUCAUUUUAUUAACUAAGGCAAUGACCAGCUACAAGGGAAUGUGGGACUUCUUUCAUGUUAGCAACUCCAGUUAAAACCACAGAAUCAAGAAAACAAAAUUACAAAAUUAAGUAGGAAUAAUGGUCUUAAGUUUAUAACCAAGAGUGAAUAAUUGUUGACAAACUGGUAAGUGCAAAAUAAUUAAGGCAAGCUGUUAAUUAGCUUUCUGUGCACUAACUACAUAAGAGCAAAGAUGAAAAAUAUUAUCUUAAUUCAACUUUCCUUUUUAAAAUUACAGUAUAGCUGGGGUAUUUUAAACAAAGUGAUUCCUGGUUGGUUCCAAUUUAUCUGAUACUCUGUUUAUUAAGAGGCAGAUUGUUAAUGUCAGCCAUUUUGGGAGAAAUUUCAGCCAUAUUUCAAU
rnacentral:misc_RNA from 1 species